AAAAUAAGUUAGAAUAAACCGUAGAAAGUAGGUGCGAAAGCUUAAAGUGGCCUACCGAGGUGAAAAAUCAUAAUAAUUUAGGUUAUUAUAAGGUUUACACUUCGCAUGCGGUAGUGUAAACCUUAUUUAUUUUAGUUU
rfam:Clostridiales bacterium GWD2_32_59 gwd2_scaffold_812, whole genome shotgun sequence.